GCAGCGCCUCUGAAGAUCACCAAAACCAUCCAGCAGAGGCCUGUGGGAAUGACCAGCGGGAUCCGCUUCAGCGUUCCCCGUGCCGCCGCUCCGGUUUCACCUGCUGCUGAUGAUGAUGAUGAUGAUGAUGAUGAAGAUGGAGCUGUGAUACCCAACAAACAGAUGAAGAUCACUACAGCUAACAACCUGCAGACACGAGUGAGACUCACACACACAAACUCACAC